CACGCUGCUGUUGGACUUGGCAACAUGCAGCUUGUAAGUCACUCCCCCAAGCUCUAUUUCAACAGAGCAUUUACAGCAAUUAAAUUUAAUUUUCAAA